UAGGGAAUCUUCCGCAAUGGGCGAAAGCCUGACGGAGCAACGCCGCGUGAGUGAUGAAGGUCUUCGGAUCGUAAAACUCUGUUAUUAGGGAAGAACAAAUGUGUAAGUAAGUAUGCACGUCUUGACGGUACCUAAUCAGAAAGCCACGGCUAACUACGUGCCAGCAGCCGCGGUAAUACGUAGGUGGCAAGCGUUAUCCGGAAUUAUUGGGCGUAAAGCGCGCGUAGGCGGUUUUUUAAGUCUGAUGUGAAAGCCCACGGCUCAACCGUGGAGGGUCAUUGGAAACUGGAAAACUUGAGUGCAGAAGAGGAAAGUGGAAUUCCAUGUGUAGCGGUGAAAUGCGCAGAGAUAUGGAGGAACACCAGUGGCGAAGGCGUCUUUCUGGUCUGUAACUGACGCUGAUGUUCGAAAGCGUGGGGAUCAAACAGG
rnacentral:rRNA from 1 species